rnacentral:misc_RNA from 1 species
GUCCUAAAAUGUAGUCCUAAAAUAUAGGGGAUUUUAGCCGGAUGUGACAUAUUCUAGUACUACAAAUUUGAACAAACAGUAUAUUCAUAUUUGUACUAUUAGAAUAUAUUACAUCCGGUUGAAAUUCCUUAUAUUUUAGACGGAGAGAGU